UACAGAGGGUGCGAGCGUUGUCCGGAAUCACUGGGCGUAAAGGGCGCGUAGGCGGCCUGAUAAGUAGGGGGUGAAAUCUUGCGGCUCAACCGCAAGGCUGCCUUCUAAACUGUCAGGCUGGAGCACGGUAGAGGCAGAUGGAAUUCCCGGUGUAGCGGUGGAAUGCGUAGAUAUCAGGAGGAACACCUGUGGUGUAGACAGCUUACUGGACCACUUCUGACGCUGAGACACGAAAGCGUGGGUAGCAAACAGG
rnacentral:rRNA from 1 species